AUUGAACGCUGGCGGCACGCCUAACACAUGCAAGUCGAGCGGCAGCAUGCUUAGUAGCAAUACUAAGUGAUGGCGAGCGGCGGACGGGUGAGGAACACGUAGGAACCUGCCCAAGAGAGGGGGACAACCAAUGGAAACGUUGGCUAAUACCGCAUAAUCUCUUAGGAGAAAAGUUGCCCGUAAGGGUAGCGCUUUUGGAGGGGCCUGCGUCCGAUUAGCUAGUUGGUGAGGUAAUAGCUCACCAAGGCGAUGAUCGGUAACUGGUCUGAGAGGACGACCAGUCACACUGGGACUGAGACACGGCCCAGACUCCUACGGGAGGCAGCAGUGGGGAAUCUUGGACAAUGGGGGCAACCCUGAUCCAGCGAUGCCGCGUGGGUGAAGAAGGCCUUCGGGUUGUAAAGCCCUUUAGGCUGGGACGAAGGGUAUGGGACGAAUAAUCCUGUACUUUGACGGUACCAGCAGAAUAAGCACCGGCAAACUCUGUGCCAGCCGCCGCAGUAAGAC
rnacentral:rRNA from 1 species